ACAAAAACAGUAGGAGACCAUUAAACAAGUGCAUGGGCAUAAAAGUGAAAGAUUUACUUUGCCGCCAACACAAAACAGACAUAAAAACAGACGAGGCGACAUAUCUCUGCAAAUUCCCACCUUCCUUGGCAGUUCAAGUCGCAAAUAACUAGCUUCAUUGAGUAAAACCAACUAGCUUCAUUGUCCUGUCCUACUCAUUCUUGAAAGUUGACUUCCUUCAUGAAACUUGAAAGGUUUAGCGUCUUUCAAUUGUUUCACCUCCUUUUCUUUCAGUUGCGUGCAACCUUCUCAACCACAGAUAAGGUUCAGAAAGUGGGCUAAAUAAAAAUAUUUUUUCAGAGGACAAGAUUAUUGAGAUUGCUAUGCUAUUAUCUGAUUAAUAUAGAUUUGAGUAAAACCAACUAGCUUCAUUGUCCUGUCCUACUCAUUCUUGAAAGUUGACUUCCUUCAUGAAACUUGAAAGGUUUAGCGUCUUUCAAUUGUUUCACCUCCUUUUCUUUCAGUUGCGUGCAACCUUCUCAACCACAGAUAAGGUUCAGAAAGUGGGCUAAAUAAAAAUAUUUUUUCAGAGGACAAGAUUAUUGAGAUUGCUAUGCUAUUAUCUGAUUAAUAUAGAUUUGAUCCUAAAAGUAGGCAUCUCUUGCUUAGCCUGAACAUUAAGCAAAACUAAAAUAACACAAGAGUCAUAGCAUAUUACAGGUUUAGUAAUAUCUUGCAAAAUAGAAUACCCACCUUCCUACCCAACCUAACUAAAACCCAGGAAAAAAAAUAAACAGAAAAAAAGGCUUUUAGCUGGAAUAGUGACAGCAUUGAUGUAAAUACAACAGGCAAUAGCAUAUUCAUAAUUUUGGGAAUGUAGUGAUCAUAUCUUAAAAGUUGAAGCAGAGUAAAAUGAUACAAGAAAAUGAAGUCCCUCACUUUUUCCGAGAAAGUAAAAACAAAACACAAGAGUGCAUAACGAUACUAGUUCCAACUUAAGUUUAAAAAAAAGGUUGAAAGUGCAUAAGAUAAAUGGAUAGCGCGGGGAAAGAAAUGAUACAGGAAAUUAUGAGCGAAGAAGCUGAUAUAUUGUAUUCCAAUGAAUAAAGGACUCCGUCUGUUCCUAACUAUUAUGCUUAUAUGACACUUUCUCUUUUGUGAUAUCCCAAAAAUGAUAGACACCAUCUGACUAGUAACAUAUUUUUAUAUCACU
rnacentral:lncRNA from 1 species